CCUACGGGAGGCAGCAGUGGGGAAUAUUGCACAAUGGGCGCAAGCCUGAUGCAGCAACGCCGCGUGCGGGAUGACGGCCUUCGGGUUGUAAACCGCUUUCAGCAGGGACGAAGCUUUUUGUGACGGUACCUGCAGAAGAAGCACCGGCUAACUACGUGCCAGCAGCCGCGGUGAUACGUAGGGUGCGAGCGUUGUCCGGAUUUAUUGGGCGUAAAGGGCUCGUAGGCGGUUGAUCGCGUCGGAAGUGGAAACUUGAUGCUUAACGUUGAGCGUGCUUUCGAUACGGGUUGACUUGAGGAAGGUAGGGGAGAAUGGAAUUCCUGGUGGAGCGGUGGAAUGCGCAGAUAUCAGGAGGAACACCAGUGGCGAAGGCGGUUCUCUGGACCUUUCCUGACGCUGAGGAGCGAAAGCGUGGGGAGCGAACAGGCUUAGAUACCCUGGUAGUCCACGCUGUAAACGGUGGGUACUAGGUGUGGGGUCCAUUCCACGGAUUCUGUGCCGUAGCUAACGCAUUAAGUACCCCGCCUGGGGAGUACGGCCGCAAGGCUAAAACUCAAAGGAAUUGACGGGGCCCCGCACAAGCGGCGGAGCAUGCGGAUUAAUUCGAUGCAACGCGAAGAACCUUACCUGGGUUUGACAUGGAUCGGAAGCUUCCAGAGAUGGUUGUGCCUCUUUUGGGGUCGGUUCACAGGUGGUGCAUGGCUGUCGUCAGCUCGUGUCGUGAGAUGUUGGGUUAAGUCCCGCAACGAGCGCAACCCUCGUCCACUGUUGCCAGCAAUUCGGUUGGGGACUCAGUGGAGACCGCCGGGGUCAACUCGGAGGAAGGUGGGGAUGACGUCAAGUCAUCAUGCCCCUUAUGUCCAGGGCUUCACGCAUGCUACAAUGGCCGGUACAGUGAGUUGCGACAUCGUAAGGUGGAGCGAAUCUCAAAAAGCCGGUCUCAGUUCGGAUUGGGGUCUGCAACUCGACCUCAUGAAGUCGGAGUCGCUAGUAAUCGCAGAUCAGCAACGCUGCGGUGAAUACGUUCCCGGGGCUUGUACACACCGCCCGUCAAGUCAUGAAAGUCGGUAACACUCGAAGCCGGUGGCCUAACACUUUUUGUGGGGGAGCUGUCGAAGGUGGGACUGGUGAUUAGGACUAAGUCGUAACAAGGUAGCCGUACCGGAAGGUGCGGCUG
rnacentral:rRNA from 1 species